UGUUAGUCUUGAGUUUGGUUAAGGUAGGCGGAAUGUGUAAUGUAGCGGUGAAAUGCUUAGAUAUUACACAGAACACCAAUUGCGUAGGCAGCUUACUGGACCGACACUGACGCUGAGGCACGAAAGCGUGGGGAUCGAACAGGAUUAGAUACCCUGGUAGUCCACGCCGUAAACGAUGAUUACUCGCUGUUGGCGAUACACAGUCAGCGGCUAAGCAAAAGCAAUAAGUAAUCCACCUGGGGAGUACGGCCGCAAGGUUGAAACUCAAAGGAAUUGACGGGGGCCCGCACAAGCGGAGGAACAUGUGGUUUAAUUCGAUGAUACGCGAGGAACCCUACCUGGGCUUAAAUGUAGAGUGCAUUUUUUAGAGAUAGAAAUUCCCUUCGGGGCUUUCUGCAAGGUGCUGCAUGGUUGUCGUCAGCUCGUGCCGUGAGGUGUCGGGUUAAGUCCCAUAACGAGCGCAACCCUUAUCGUUAGUUGCCAGCGGGUAAUGCCGGGGACUCUAGCGAAACUGCCACCGUAAGGUGAGAGGAAGGUGGGGAUGACGUCAAAUCAGCACGGCCCUUAUGUCCAGGGCUACACACGUGUUACAAUGGUCGGUACAGAGGGCAGCUACCUGGUGACAGGAUGCUAAUCUCGAAAACCGGUCUCAGUUCGGAUCGAAGUCUGCAACUCGACUUCGUGAAGCUGGAUUCGCUAGUAAUCGCGCAUCAGCCAUGGCGCGGUGAAUACGUUCCCGGGCCUUGUACACACCGCCCG
rnacentral:rRNA from 1 species